rnacentral:piRNA from 1 species
CUUCUCCUGGCCGACAGUCCGGG